rnacentral:rRNA from 1 species
ACGGAAGGCAGCAGUGGGGAAUAUUGCACAAUGGGGGAAACCCUGAACCAGCGACGCCGCGUGAGUGAAGAAGUAUUUCGGUAUGUAAAGCUCUAUCAGCAGGGACGAUAAUGACGGUACCUGACUAAGAAGCCCCGGCUAACUACGUGCCAGCAGCCGCGGUAAUACGUAGGGGGCAAGCGUUAUCCGGAUUUACUGGGUGUAAAGGGAGCGUAGACGGCAUGGCAAGUCUGAUGUGAAAACCCGGGGCUCAACCCCGGGACUGCAUUGGAAACUGUCAGGCUAGAGUGCAGGAGAGGUAAGUGGAAUUCCUAGUGUAGCGGUGAAAUGCGUAGAUAUUAGGAGGAACACCAGUGGCGAAGGCGGCUUACUGGACUGUAACUGACGUUGAGGCUCGAAAGCGUGGGGAGCAAACAGGAUUAGAUACCCUGGUA